GAAACAGCCAGUAAUAACACAAAGCAUUAUGACCAUUCGCCUUCCCUCCACUCAGUUUUACUAUCCCCGCAUCCGCCGCGCCAGAGGCUCCCUCUACGGCAGAGCUUCUCCUAAAUCAAAAACCUUAAUACCAAACUCUUCCUCUCACCGUCUUCUACACCGAUCCACCCUUAAAUUUCAUCAAUUCCUAAUCCAUUAGACGAGUCGAGCCAAACUUUUGGGAGAACACUAACUAUUGAAGACAAGAUUAAAUCCUCUAACCAUGGAAUCAAAGCCCAGACGGUUGGGGCUUUGAUUCCCUAAGCUCUAAACUACGCACCAGCGGAGGACUUGAAGUGAAAAGGGGAAGAGUAUUUGGCGUACCUCCUGGAGAAGAUGAAGACGAUGGUGAAGAAGAGAUAUCUGGUAUUCUAGAUGCUCAGUCAGCUUCGUGCCUUAAAAUCGCAAAUUCCAUUUUCAACCAUUCAACCUGACGGGAGGUUAUUUGGAAGGAGUAAUACAUCAUGCAGUUGCAAUUUGGCUUGGACCGGGAUGUCGUUCUGCAUCAUUCCGCAAUGGCCUAUGUCAUAAAUUUCUCCUGCUUAUGGUUUUCUCAUUUUGUAAAAUUCUACAGUUGUGGUAAUUGACUUUAAUUGUUGUUGAACAUGUCAUGAUGAAGAGCUAUACAUCUGCAUCAGAAUAGGGAAAAGGUCCACCCCGAAUUGCGUAAAUUGCUCGAGUUGCUAACUUAGUAUUUUCUCUCGAGCCAUUAUCUUAUGAACAUAUUUUGUUUGGGUCUUCUUGUGUCCUAGAAUCGCGAGAUGGAGAUUCACACCAGCUCCUUUCAAAACCAUGUUUUGCUAUGAAUCAACAGACAAAUGAUGGAGUGAAUAUUUAGAAACAACAUGAAGCAUUUCACAUUGCUGUAUUGAUGCUUCAACUUAUCCAACAUGUCCAUUUUUAGAAGUAAAGCUUUGUUGAAGAUGACUCCGGAAUCUGCCGAGUGAGGCGAUGAGGAAACACUCCUGCAAUUCUGGAAGCAUUCUCAAUCAGCUCACCAACCAAAGAGUUGCAACAACGGCAUCAUGGCUUCUACUAAGUAAAUGAUGAAAAGGGAUACCCGAUAAUUGUCUCAACGUUUACACCAAUAUUCAGAGCUCUUAUGAUGGCUUCAACACCUUCAUGCAUAGAAGGAUCAAUUAGUGGUAGCAAACCAACAAAUCUUCAUGGUGCACCAGGGGUUUCAAAUAGUAUACCGCUAAUGAUCGGAUGUCGUUGCCGUAAAUUGCAAGAUGCUAACAUGGGCAACAUCAGUUUGUUAGAGGUUUAUUAAGACUGUUAGAAAAACAGUUGGUGGUUAUAGAGUUAGCUAUGACAGUUUCAAUUAUGUUAUUUAGAAUGAGUUUAAUUUUGGAGGUUAACAAUUGAAGAUGACAGAAAUUAGCCUAUGAUUGAAAAUACUAAUCGAUAUAUUUUUUAUGGAAUUAUGCAGGAUGGUUGCUACGGGUCAAAUACGGUUUAGCUUCUAGUUCAGCUUCAGAAUUAAGAGUUGGUUAAUUGGUUUAAUUUACUACAGGUGGAACAUCAUGGAUUCAAUGCCGCUACUUGUGUUGAGGGCUGUAGCCGCUGAAGGCAAGCAGGAUGCUCCACCUGUUGAGGCUGCUUCUGUUGCAGAACUGGUUGGAGGUGCUAUUGUCGCGGCCGCCAUGGUUAAGAAGUUCUUUUUGUUCAUGUUAGUGACCGUAUAUUGUUGGUUUCGGUUUCAUGAUGGAUAUUUGUAGGGUUUAAAUAGGCAAUGGAAGCAAGAAACCCAGGACCCACGUAUGCAAAUAGAUUGUCCAGUUUGCUUUAUCAAGAACAAAAAUUUGAUCAGUGUUUGUUAUGUCAAUAAGCGGAGCAUUGGAAAGGCUCCAAUUUCCAUUA